AACGAACGCUGGCGGCAUGCCUAACACAUGCAAGUCGAACGAGACCUUCGGGUCUAGUGGCGCACGGGUGCAUAACGCGUGGGAACCCGCCCUUAGGUUCGGAAUAACUCCCCGAAAGGGGUGCUAAUACCGGAUAAUGUCUUCGGACCAAAGAUUUAUCGCCUUUGGAUGGGCCCGCGUUGGAUUAGCUAGUUGGUAGGGUAAAAGCCUACCAAGGCGACGAUCCAUAGCUGGUCUGAGAGGAUGAUCAGCCACACUGGGACUGAGACACGGCCCAGACUCCUACGGGAGGCAGCAGUGGGGAAUAUUGGACAAUGGGCGAAAGCCUGAUCCAGCAAUGCCGCGUGAGUGAUGAAGGCCUUAGGGUUGUAAAGCUCUUUUACCCGGGAUGAUAAUGACAGUACCGGGAGAAUAAGCUCCGGCUAACUCCGUG
rnacentral:rRNA from 1 species